rnacentral:lncRNA from 1 species
AUGAUAUUACAGAUGUCUAUUAUACAAAUUAUGAUUGACAACUAUCUGCUAAUAUUUGGAAAUUAUCCAACAUAUGGUAAACACAUUGACAAAAGGUCUGAUGGAUUAAAGACCUCUACAGAUUCCAUAAAGUUUGCCGACAAAUCACCUAUUAUUGAAGAAUUCAUAGUUGGAAUCAAUGGGAAAUCCUGUGAUAAUGAUGAAAAUUUCAAUAUUUCAUAUGCUGCUCUGAAAAAGGAAGGUCCUACAGAUUCAGAGAAACAACAAGGCAGUAGUGUAUGUGCAAGCCCACCAGGACCGCCCAUAAAUCCACCACAAACAACAAAGAAAUGCUUGUUUGGCAAAACUCUUAGGAGUAUUUUUGAAGACAAAAAGGUGUCUGGUCUAAUAUUUGUGAGUAUCAUUUUGGGUUUCUACAUCACCAUUGUUCUGAGAAAGUUAUUCAGUCAAACUGUUGAAGGUUUAAAUAACCUAUCCAUGAGUGUAAGAUCAUGUUAAAAUAGAAAUAAAUUCCACUGUAUUUUGAAUCAUGUAAUUGUAAGAAAAAAAGAAAUAGUCUUCUCAUAUUUUGCACAGUUUGAAUAAGAGAUCCAAAUUGACCAGCUUCUGAGAGGAAAUGGGUCCAUGGAAGUGCCCUGCUGAUUGACCAAAUGAAAAGUCUUUCACCAUUUUUAUGACCCCAUAUUUCUCUGGAGUCAAUAACUUAGUAUCAUUUCCCAUGAGAUUACUCAAUCUUUUAAAUUAAUAAUAUCUACAGACUUUUAUUUUACGUUAACCAUUUCUUAUGUAUACAUACUGUAUUUGAUAAGUAUGAACAUCUUUGAUGAUAGCAGACUAUAUUUAAAUGCAACCUAAUAUGGCUUAAUCUUUUUUACAUGAGGUAGUAAACUUUUUUGGAAACUUAUAUUUUCUCUCCAGCAUCUAUUUUAGAACUAUAGCUGUGCUACUAAUUUAUGCUACUUGUGAACAAAUUUAUCUUCCAGAAACAUGAGCAUUACUGCCAAUUUCUUAGGUAUUCUACAGCAGAAUUUUCUGGUAACCAUAUUUUUAACAAAUAAUUGACAAUGAAGUAGGUCUUGAAUGUUAUUCAUUUUUAUAGAGUAAAUUUGUGGAAGAAUGUUUGAAGUAUGCUUGGGUUAUAAAAUGUGACAGUAUCUUUAGACAUAGUUGAAAAUAAGAACUGAUAAAAACGAAAUGAAAAUCUCAGAAAUGUACUGAAAAAAUCGUUCUUAAAAACACAAAAGUUAGGAUUCAUAAUAGAGGCCAGGACAGACAGGAAGUAAUGUAGUGGUUUGAUCUCUGUAAAGGAAAUAUCCCAAUAGUAACUUAGUAUUGCAAGCAUGAGAAAGUUAUCAUAGGGGGAAACAAAAUGCAAUAGAGGACCAUUCACCAAAAUGUUUUGUGGAAUAAAAGUCCAAAAAAAUCCAUGAUAUUUCAAAUUGUGGAAACAAAGGAAUAGGCAAGAAAAAAAUAUUUGGAAGCUAAAACAGAAAAAAGUUCAAUAUCUUCUUCAUUCCACUCUGUUAUAGUUCUGCAUCCAAAUUUCCUUUGUUCAGGUUCA